rnacentral:rRNA from 1 species
UAAAGAAUUUCGGUUAUCGAUGGGGAUGCGUUCCAUUAGUUAGUUGGCGGGGUAACGGCCCACCAAGACGACGAUGGAUAGGGGUUCUGAGAGGAAGGUCCCCCACAUUGGAACUGAGACACGGUCCAAACUCCUACGGGAGGCAGCAGUGAGGAAUAUUGGUCAAUGGACGAGAGUCUGAACCAGCCAAGUAGCGUGAAGGAUGACUGCCCUAUGGGUUGUAAACUUCUUUUAUAUGGGAAUAAAACAGGGUAUGCAUACCCUCUUGUAUGUACCAUAUGAAUAAGGAUCGGCUAACUCCGUGCCAGCAGCCGCGGUAAUACGGAGGAUCCGAGCGUUAUCCGGAUUUAUUGGGUUUAAAGGGAGCGUAGGUGGAUUGUUAAGUCAGUUGUGAAAGUUUGCGGCUCAACCGUAAAAUUGCAGUUGAAACUGGCAGUCUUGAGUACAGUAGAGGUGGGCGGAAUUCGUGGUGUAGCGGUGAAAUGCUUAGAUAUCACGAAGAACUCCGAUUGCGAAGGCAGCUCACUAGACUGCAACUGACACUGAUGCUCGAAAGUGUGGGUAUCAAACAGGAUUAGAUACCCUGGUAGUCCACACAGUAAACGAUGAAUACUCGCUGUUUGCGAUAUACAGUAA